GAUGAACGCUGGCGGCGUGCCUAAAAAAUGCAAGUCGAGCGAACAGACGAGGAGCUAGAUACUCUGACGUAAAAGGCGGACAGGUGAGUAACACGUGGAUAACCUACCUAUAAGACUGGGAUAACUUCGGGAAACCGGAGCUAAUACCGGAUAAUAUAUUGAACCGCAUGGUUCAAUAGUGAAAGACGGUUUUGCUGUCACUUAUAGAUGGAUCCGCGCCGCAUUAGCUAGUUGGUAAGGUAACGGCUUACCAAGGCAACGAUGCGUAGCCGACCUGAGAGGGUGAUCGGCCACACUGGAACUGAGACACGGUCCAGACUCCUACGGGAGGCAGCAGUAGGGAAUCUUCCGCAAUGGGCGAAAGCCUGACGGAGCAACGCCGCGUGAGUGAUGAAGGUCUUCGGAUCGUAAAACUCUGUUAUUAGGGAAGAACAAAUGUGUAAGUAACUAUGCACGUCUUGACGGUACCUAAUCAGAAAGCCACGGCUAACUACGUG
rnacentral:rRNA from 1 species